CCUACGGGAGGCAGCAGUGAGGAAUAUUGGUCAAUGGCCGGAAGGCUGAACCAGCCAAGCCGCGUGCAGGACGAAGGUGCCAAGCAUUGUAAACUUCUUUUGUCAAGGGACAAAAUCAGGCUCGAGAGCCUGACCGCGGGUACUUGAAGAAAAAGCAUCGGCUAACUCCGUGCCAGCAGCCGCGGUAAUACGGAGGAUGCGAGCGUUAUCCGGAUUUAUUGGGUUUAAAGGGUGCGUAGGCGGACUGUUAAGUCAGCGGUAAAAGCCCGGGGCUCAACCCCGGCGAGCCGUGGAAACUGGCGGUCUUGAGAGGUCGGGAGGUAGGCGGAAUGCGCAGUGUAGCGGUGAAAUGCUGAGAUAUGGCGCAGAACUCCGAUUGCGAAGGCAGCAUACCGGCGGCGAUCUGACGCUGAGGCACGAAAGCGUGGGUAUCGAACAGGAUUAGAUACCCUAGUAGUC
rnacentral:rRNA from 1 species